rnacentral:rRNA from 1 species
GACGAACGCUGGCGGCGUGCUUAACACAUGCAAGUCGAACGGUGAAGCUCCAGCUUGCUGGAGUGGAUCAGUGGCGAACGGGUGAGUAACACGUGAGCAACCUGCCCCUGACUCUGGAAUAAGCGCUGGAAACGGCGUCUAAUACUGGAUACGAGAAGGGUCCGCAUGGGCACUUUCUGGAAAGAUGUGCGGUUGGGGAUGGGCUCGCGGCCUAUCAGCUUGUUGGUGAGGUAAUGGCUCACCAAGGCGACGACGGGUAGCCGGCCUGAGAGGGCGACCGGCCACACUGGGACUGAGACACGGACCAGACUCCAACGGGAGGCAGCAGUGGGGAAUAUUGCACAGUGGGCGAAAGCCUGAUGCAGCGACGCCGCGUGAGGGAUGACGGCCUUCGGGUUGUAAACCUCUUUCAGCAGGGAAGAAGCGAAAGUGACGGUACCUGCAGAAGAAGCACCGGCUAACUACGUG